rnacentral:lncRNA from 1 species
GACUAAACAAUGUUAUGUUAGUCUUGAUCAAAGUGUGAUCUCUGUAGUCCCUAACUUCUAAGGUUAGCGGAUUCUAAGAUGACAUUUUGCUCCAGAUUCACAUAACGUUUAUUCAUUUAUAUUUGUAUUGUUAACAGUUUGUAUUAGUUAUUAUGUAGGGUUUUAAGAUUUUAGAGUGUAAAUAGCCUCUUCUUUCAGUUGCAAGAUCUGAGAUCUUUGGAUCGAUUACUUGACAACUUUGUUCUGGGGGCAUACAUUUAUUUUCUGACCAAAAUCUUUGGGGGUACUCACAAUUUUCCAGAUUUAUGGUUUUUCUGUUCUUCUGGAACCCCUGUUUUGGUUACAAUUCUCAUUCUUUGGAUUUUUAAUUAUGAUUGUUUUGCGUCCAUUACCAAUUCUGAAGGAUUUAAUUGUUCCUUUUGGUGUAAUGGCUCGGACGCCAAAUUAAUAAUGUGGUGAUCCUGAUUUAUGGGUUUACUUCAAUACCAUUUGGUCUUGGAAACGCCUCAAACAUUU